rnacentral:rRNA from 1 species
UACGUAGGCGGAUUGGAAAGUAGGGGGUGAAAUCCCAGGGCUCAACCCUGGAACUGCCUCCUAAACUACUAGUCUAGAGUUCGAGAGAGGUGAGUGGAAUUCCAAGUGUAGAGGUGAAAUUCGUAGAUAUUUGGAGGAACACCAGUGGCGAAGGCGGCUCACUGGCUCGAUACUGACGCUGAGGUACGAAAGUGUGGGGAGCAAACAGGAUUAGAUACCCUGGUAGUCC